CCCCUUCCCACAGAGCUGCAGCCAGUGAUAGCUACUUCCGGAUGAAAGGCGGUCCUGAAGCCAGCAGCAAAGCCUGCCCCACAGCCACUGUCCCAGCAGCCUCCUUGCAGCUCCCUAACAGUCCAGACCUGCAGGACCUCCAGGACAGAGGUGCUCCAAAGGGAAAUUCAGGCUGUGAUCUGUGGUUUUGCGCAAGACUCUAUUUCCACUCUCACCAUACCUCCUGGCACAGAUGAUGGGUGCUUAAUACAACCUGUGCGGAAGAAGGAAGGAAGGAAGGAAGGAAGGAAGGAGCAAGCACUUGAGGGCUGGCCUUCUGAUGGACCCAUCCUGUCCCUCCUUCCACCUAGAUGGCCAGAUGAAGGAAGUCACGGGACCCACUCACUGUGCCUUGGAAGCUCAAGCCAGUUUCUGAAGCCUGUCCUCACCUAUUCUUUCUCAAACUCUAUUCCCAGCUCCUCUCCUCAAAUGCUCUUGCCCAGAGUAGUCAUAAACCAAAACUACUUACCCUGACUGCCCCCACACCACCACCAAAGACUUUAGAAGUCUGGGUCAUCCAUUCUGCCUCCUCCACAGGGAAGAAUCCCACAGCUCCAAGACCCUUCAGUUCCACCCUGUCCCCGUUCCCAUCCGUUCCACUGCCUGAGAACAGCAGCCUGCAGGCACAAGUCUCAGGACAGGCACACCCAGGUAGGCUUAUGCAGUAACUCAGUAGACAAAUGGGAAUGAAGGAACAAGCAGGAUGUGGCCAAAUGAUCUAAACCAGUUUGGCCAUUCAGUAAUAGCCUGUUCUCUUGGUGAAUUUGGGAGACUGUGUCUUCAUUUCAUUUGAUACACAAAGCAAGCACUGUAUCAAAAUCCCACCAAAUAUGUAGCAUUUAUUAGCUAACAGACACAGAAACAGCCAUGUGACUUCUCCUUGGAGGUGAGGAAUUCCACUUGGCCCUAUCAUAAACGGCUCACUUGGAGGCUGCCCCUACCUUCUAAUGGCAAGCCCAGUCUGCGAAGCUGGGUAGGGGGAACAUCACACAACCAUCAGGCUCCAGGCAGCCAGCACAACUCUUAAAGACAGAAGGUGAGGACUUGCAAGGGUCUGCUCAGUCUUCCUACCAACUGCUUUAGCUACUGCUUGGGAGUGUCGAUCCCAGUAAAAUUUUGUGUGCUAAUAAACCACCUAAAGGACACAGAUGAAAGAGUAUAUGGUUUAUUACUGAAGUCUUUUUGGAAGUGAAUUACUCCAGUCACAAUAACACCCAUAUGCAAAACCAAAAGGAGAAGAAAGGACCAUGAAUUUAGUGAGGUCUUCUUGACCAGGUCUGUUUCAGCAUCACCCUCUCUACAACAGGAACAGGAGGGCCAAGAUCCCUUCACAGGGCCCAGGGAUUAAGCUCAGUGGCAGAGCACCUGCCUGGCAAAAACAAGAUCCUGAGUUUUCUCCCCAGUACCAAAAAAAAAAAAGCCCUUCACAUAUUCUCCAAACACAGAAACAUUAAUCUAAUUUAAAAUGUGUUUUCAUUUUUCCUAGAAUCCCUGGUACUGCAAUUUUUGUCUGUUCCACCAGAGAGCAACCUUUCUGCAUUUAUGCAUCUUGUUUGUCAAACAAUGAUCUCAUCUCCACAAACAAAUAUACCUGAUUCCAAGUGUUAGGAGAGCAAUUCUUGGGGUUUCCAUGACCCAGAGAAAUUCUCCAGACUCCACGAAAGUGUUUCCACUUUUCAGCUCUAAAGAUAGCUAACUAAAAAGUCAAUGAGAUGUCUCACUGGAGAAAGGUUCUAGGAUAUAGAAUAGGAACUUUUUUUUUACCUCUGGCUAGGGAGAGGAGCCCUGCCUUACCGCUCCACCAUGCAGCUGUCAGUCCAAUAGCCUCAGUCAGGUUCUGGAAAUGUAGGACUUUCACUGGGGUGAAAGAACUGCAGGAAGUGGCCUCUGGCUCCAAGGUCCUGUCCUGACACUGCUUUGGGAGAGCUAAGUGUGGACUUUGUGUCAGUGCAAUUCAGGUGCAAGACCGAGGCUUCUGACCCAGGCUAAGACAGGGAGCUGAGGAUUUCCCAGGCUCUGUUCCAUUAGGGUACAGACUCCUCCCUGGGAUCAGUGGGCUAUGACAGUUGUCACUCACGUCAGAUUAAUAAAAUUUAUCCUGGCUGUCUUAUAUUCAUUUUUUUCACUGUGUAUCAUUAUCUUCAAAGGAGUUACUCCAGAGUACAAGACAUAAAUGAAAAAGAUCGCUGCAAAAAAGAAACAACCAGAUAAUAAUACAAAGCUUUUUUUUCAACUAUCUAUUCUAUGAACAACUUGGUUGUGCUGCAAGGCCUGGUAACAGCUACUUUAUAGAAGAAUCCGAACUAAAUAUAAGUCAGCCAGUUGACACUGAGAUAUCUGCUCCUCUCUUUUCUGGCCUCUUCACUAACUUUCCUGUCCACUCUCCAUCCUAGCUGAAUCAAGUUUUGUUUGCUUAUCUACAGCCUUGCUAGGCUAUAAAACUUAUGCAUGGGUCACCAUCUCUU
rnacentral:lncRNA from 1 species